rnacentral:rRNA from 1 species
CCUACGGGAGGCAGCAGUGGGGGAUAUUGCACAAUGGGGGAAACCCUGAUGCAGCGACGCCGCGUGGGCGAAGAAGUAUCUCGGUAUGUAAAGCUCUAUCAGCAGGGAAGUAGAAAUGACGGUACCUGCGUAAGAAGCACCGGCUAAAUACGUGCCAGCAGCCGCGGUAAUACGUAGGGUGCAAGCGUUAUCCGGAUUUACUGGGUGUAAAGGGAGCGUAGGCGGUACGGCAAGCCUGAUGUGAAAGUUCGCGGCCCAACCGCGGUAUUGCAUUUGGAACUACCAGUCUGGAGUGCCGGGGAGGUAGGCGGAAUUCGUAGUGUAGCGGUGAAAUGCGUAGAUAUUAGGAAGAACACC